UACCAAAAACACAGGUUUGUGCUAAAUCGAAAGAUGACGUAUACGAGCUGACGCCUGCCCGGUGCUGGAAGGUUAAAAGGAGAUGUGCAAGCAUUGAAUUGAAGCCCCAGUGAACGGCGGCCGUAACUAUAACGGUCCUAAGGUAGCGAAAUUCCUUGUCAGGUAAGUUCUGACCCGCAUGAAAGGCGUAAUGAUCUGGGCACUGUCUCAACAGCCCGCCCGGCGAAAUUGUAGUACCGGUGAAGAUGCCGGUUACCCGCGACAAGACGGAAAGACCCCAUGGAGCUUUACUGUAGCCUGAUAUUGGGUUUCGGUGUUGCAUGCACAGGAUAGAUGGGACGCUGGGAAAGAAGCGCUUUGGCGUUUCUGGAGCGGACGUUGGGAUACCAUCCUUGCGACAUUGGAAUUCUAACCUGCGCCUCUGAAUCGAGGCGGGGGACAUUGUCAGGUGGGCAGUUUGACUGGGGCGGUCGCCUCCUAAAAAGUAGCGGAGGCGUUCAAAGGUUCGUUCGAUCUGGACGGAAACCAGAUGAUUGAGUGCAAACGCAUAAACGAGCCUGACUGCGAGACUGACGGGUCGAGCAGAGACGAAAGUCGGAGUUAGUGAUCCGGUGGUAUGUGAGUGGAAAUGCCAUCGCUCAACGGAUAAAAGUUACCCUGGGGAUAACAGGCUGAUCUCCCCCAAGAGUCCACAUCGACGGGGAGGUUUGGCACCUCGAUGUCGGCUCAUCGCAUCCUGGGGCUGAAUUCGGUCCCAAGGGUUUGGCUGUUCGCCAAUUAAAGCGGUACGCGAGCUGGGUUCAGAACGUCGUGAGACAGUUCGGUCCCUAUCUGUCGUGGGCGCAGGAUAUUUGCAAGGCGCUGUCCCUAGUACGAGAGGACCGGGAUGGACGAACCUCUGGUGCACCAGUUGUCACGCCAGUGGCACAGCUGGGCAGCUAUGUUCGGAUCGGAUAAACGCUGAAAGCAUCUAAGCGUGAAGCCGGCCUUAAGAUAAGAUAUCCCACUGAGUCAAUCAGGUAAGACCCCUUGAAGACUACAAGGUUGAUAGGCACACAGUGUAAGCGGAGUGAUCCGUUCAGCUAGCGUGUACUAAUAGGUCGAGGGCUUGACCC
rnacentral:rRNA from 1 species